rnacentral:rRNA from 1 species
CGGGGUACUCGAGCGGCGAACGGGUGAGUAACACGUGAGCAACCUGCCCCAGGCUUUGGGAUAACCCCGGGAAACCGGGGCUAAUACCGAAUAUGACCUCCGAUCGCAUGGUUGGUGGUGGAAAGUUUUUCGGCUUGGGAUGGGCUCGCGGCCUAUCAGCUUGUUGGUGGGGUGAUGGCCUACCAAGGCGACGACGGGUAGCCGGCCUGAGAGGGCGACCGGCCACACUGGGACUGAGACACGGCCCAGACUCCUACGGGAGGCAGCAGUGGGGAAUAUUGCACAAUGGGCGGAAGCCUGAUGCAGCGACGCCGCGUGAGGGAUGACGGCCUUCGGGUUGUAAACCUCUUUCAGCAGGGACGAAGCGUAAGUGACGGUACCUGCAGAAGAAGCGCCGGCCAACUACGUGCCAGCAGCCGCGGUAAGACGUAGGGCGCGAGCGUUGUCCGGAUUUAUUGGGCGUAAAGAGCUCGUAGGCGGCUUGUCGCGUCGACUGUGAAAACCCGCAGCUCAACUGCGGGCCUGCAGUCGAUACGGGCAGGCUAGAGUUCGGUAGGGGAGACUGGAAUUCCUGGUGUAGCGGUGAAAUGCGCAGAUAUCA